rnacentral:lncRNA from 1 species
CUCUGGAUUGGGACCUGCAGCCCAGAGAAGGGAAAUGGGGGAAAUCCAAGUUCCCAGGUACAUCAUGAUACCCUUCCAGCCUCUCCUUCCUGGAAAUUGCCAUCACCAGCGGCCAUAGCACCCCCAUGGGACCUGGGGGAUGGAGUUGGAAGCCCCCUCCGGCAACACUGGCCAGAUUGGAGAGACCAGCAGGGAAGCUCCCUCCUACCCCCAGGGAGGCUGAAGCCAGCUCUCCAUGGGCACGAAACCUGGAACCCAGGACCCUGGGGGGCAGGUGAGAUGACAGGGACUUGGGGUCUGGGAGCAGAGUCACAGGGAAGAGUGGCAUCUAGGGGAGGCGCAUCUUGGGGGUGCAUCUAGGGGAGGUGCUAAGAAGUGACAGGGGUCUCUGGAGGUGCCCCAGUCCCUC